ensembl:lncRNA
CUGUCAAUGAGGCGAGAGGUCAGUGUGAUCAGGUGGUGGCCCGACGCAGGUGUUUCUGGCGCCUGCGAUAAUGAACGAAGAUGAACGUUAUGAUUCAUUGUGUUGAUGAUGUGACCGAGAAAGAGCCUCUGCUCUGAUUCUGGUAACGCCGAGAUGCGCUUCCACCGGAUGCGGCACGAGGCGAAGUUUGUGCGGCAGCAGAGCGACAUGAACCGGCUGAUAGAACCACGGCUACCGGCUCCAAUACUCUGUUUCUGUGGAUGCUGGAGGCCUGAUGGAGGUUACGCCUGAUGGAGGUUGUCCCUGCAGUGGUCCUGCCGUACACCUGGCUUACUACUAAAUAUUUGAAUCAUUUCUGUCGUAGGAAUUGAACGUACUCUAAAUCUUUAAGUUGUUCAUUCUGUACACACUUUUUUUCUCUGCAGUUCUCCUUUUGGUUUCUCUCAUUUGAAGGUUUCUGUUUUUUCCAUUUGAGUUUUUCCUGUUCCAUGUUUCGGGACCAGAAGUUGCAUGUUUGCGGACUGUAAAGCUCUCUAAUGCUCAUUUGUAAUUUUGGGCUGUACAAAAAUAAAAUGAUUUGAUUUGAA